rnacentral:lncRNA from 1 species
AGGUGGGGCCGAGGCGACGCCGAACGCCGGCAGGCCGGAAACCGCGCAGCCCCGCUGGACCUCGCUGAUUGCCGGCGGCACCGGUGGUUUCGCGACCUUGAACAGGGAUGUGGUCUCAUUAGGUUGCCCAAGCUGGACUUGUACUCUUGGCCUCAAGAGGUCCUUCCAUCUCAGUCUCCCAAGUAGCUGGGACUACAAGCAUGCACCACUACACUCAGCCAAAUACUUUCAAUAAUUUGCCAGCUGACAACUUGAUUGGGUUCUCCUUCAGGUUUGAAGCGCCCUCGAGAAGUGUCUAAAGGAGACAGUUGAUAGCCAAACAACAGUUUUGGAUUCACUGACUGAUUAUGAAAGAAGCAGUAGACUGGUAUCAAGAAUCAGUCAGCAAGGAGGCCCUCACCAGACGCCAGUGCCAUGUUCUUGGACUUCUCAGCCUCCAUAUUCAUGAACUAAGUUUUUGGAAUCCUUAGGCUUCCACGUGUGGAAAGCCUGAGCUAACCUACUGGAGGAUGAGCCAUCACCUGGAGCAGAUUCAGGCCAUCCUAGUUGAAGCCUCCCUAGGCCAAGCAACCGUCCAACUACCAGACAUUGACCAUUCAGCCUUGAACAUUCAGCACAAAGACAAAACAGACCAGACCAGAAGAGUCCCACAGAAUAGGGGAAACUAUUCAGAGAAAACUUAAGCCACUAAGUUUUAUGGUGUUUUGUUCUGUAGCAGAAGCAUAGGCAUACUGACAAUACAAACCGAAAUCCUUCUAACGUAGUGGACCUUUUCAGGCCAGCAUUUUUUCCUUGAAAACCUGGAGCAUGUAUCCAUCUUAUAGCAGAGAUCACUUUCACAAUGUUUGGGCUCUUGAUUUGAAUUGAUGAUGUAAUGAGCCCUCUAUCCAGAUUGUAACUAAUUACUCUGCGAAUUGACUGGAUUCCACACCCUUCUAAUAUUUUACUUUUCCUCUUUUAUCAACUCUCAUUCUUGCUGCCAUGAUCAAUGGACCAACUAUGCUUAUAACCACAAAUUUUGAUAUGCUUAAACAAAUGAACAAAUAUAUUUAAUAAUUUCUUUUUUUUUUUUGAAAUAGUAUCUUGCUCUGUCACCCAGGCUGCAGUGCAGCAGCGUGAUCUCAGCUCACUAUAACCUCCACCUCCCGGGUUCAAGUGAUUCUCCUGCCUCAGCCUCCCAAGUAGCUGGGACUACAGGCGCCCACCACCAUACCUGGCUAAUUUUUUGUAUUUUUAGUAGAGACAGGGUUUAUCCAUGUUGGCCAGGCUGGUCUCAAACUCCUGACCUCAAGUGAUCCUCCUGCCUCGGCCUCCCAAAGUGCUGGGAUUACAGGUGUGAGCCACCAUGCCCAGCC